rnacentral:rRNA from 1 species
CGUGGCGAACGGGUGCGUAACACGUGGAUAACCUUCCUUCAGGUGGGGAAUAACCCAGUGAAAAUUGGGCUAAUACCGCAUAACAUUGCGAGAGCACAUGCUCUUGCAUUCAAACCCGCAAGGGGCCGGAAGAGGGAUCCGCGGCCGAUUAGCUAGUUGGCGAGGUAACGGCUCACCAAGGCAAUGAUCGGUAGCUGGUCUGAGAGGAUGGCCAGCCACACUGGAACUGAGACACGGUCCAGACUCCUACGGGAGGCAGCAGUGGGGAAUCUUGCGCAAUGGGCGAAAGCCUGACGCAGCGACGCCGCGUGGGGGAUGAAGCUUCUCGGAGUGUAAACCCCUUUCGACCGGGACGAAUGCCCGCAAGGGAGUGACGGUACCGGUAGAAGAAGCCCCGGCUAACUACGUGCCAGCAGCCGCGGUAAGACGUAGGGGGCCAGCGUUGUUCGGAAUUACUGGGUGUAAAGGGUUCGUAGGCGGUGUGGCAAGUCGGGAGUGAAAUUUCUGGGCUUAACCCAGAAGCUGCUUCCGAAACUGCUGUGCUAGAGUGCGGGAGAGGCGCGUGGAAUUGCAGGUGUAGCGGUGAAAUGCGUAGAUAUCUGCAGGAACACCCGUGGCGAAAGCGGCGCGCUGGACCGUUACUGACGCUGAGGAACGAAAGCUAGGGGAGCAAACAGGAUUAGAUACCCUGGUAGUCCUAGCCCUAAACGAUCAGGACUUGGGGUGCCUUCCGUUCGGAAGUCGUCCCGGAGCUAACGCGUUAAGUCCUGCACCUGGGGAGUACGGUCGCAAGACUGAAACUCAAAGGAAUUGACGGGGGCCCGCACAAGCGGUGGAACAUGUGGUUCAAUUCGA